rnacentral:rRNA from 1 species
AUUGAACGCUGGCGGCAUGCCUUACACAUGCAAGUCGAACGGUAACGCGGGGCAACCUGGCGACGAGUGGCGAACGGGUGAGUAAUGCAUCGGAACGUGCCUGGUAGUGGGGGAUAACUGCUCGAAAGAGCAGCUAAUACCGCAUACGACCUGAGGGUGAAAGGGGGGAUCGCAAGACCUCUCGCUAUCAGAGCGGCCGAUGUCGGAUUAGCUAGUUGGUGGGGUAAAGGCCCACCAAGGCAACGAUCCGUAGCUGGUCUGAGAGGACGACCAGCCACACUGGGACUGAGACACGGCCCAGACUCCUACGGGAGGCAGCAGUGGGGAAUUUUGGACAAUGGACGCAAGUCUGAUCCAGCCAUGCCGCGUGCGGGAAGAAGGCCUUCGGGUUGUAAACCGCUUUUGUCAGGGAAGAAAUCUUCUGGGCUAAUACCCUGGGAGGAUGACGGUACCUGAAGAAUAAGCACCGGCUAACUACGUGCCAGCCGCCGCGGUAAGAC